AAAAAAACAGAUUCACAGUUCAAUCCAAAAGAGAAGUUUUACAAUAAUGCAGUGCAUUGUUGUGUCCUGCUGUUAUUAGAUCAGGAUUUGAACGAUACACAUAUGAUACGAAACCAUUAAGGAGAGAUUUUGCCUCUGAUUUGUUUCAUUAAAGGAGAACAGCAAUGGUGCUUCUGUACCUUUCAACUUUUCUUUGUCAUAUCGUGGCAUUGUCUUGUAUGUCUUCAGCGGAGAGACAAUUGGUUUGCUCCUCAGAAAGUGUUAGCAUUUGGUACAGCUAUGAUGGUAAGAUCUUUUUUUUUAAAUGGUUUACUUAUUUAUUCAGUUUGAUUUGUUACCUCAUGACCUUAGCUACCAGAAAGAGAUAAGUUCUAUUUAUUAAAAACUCAGUGGAUGUAUUUUUUUUUCUUUUUAUAUUUUUAUAUUAGUUUAUGUACUAAUGACUGUUCAUUUUACAAAUGAUGUUCAUGAAUCAUGAGUUCAUAUGGAAUUUGAAUCUCUUUUCAUGAUUCUAUUUGAGGUCACUGUUAUGUAAUUAAAAACAGUCAAUGCUCUCUUAAAUUAGGGCCAUUGUAUUACCUGUCAGUGACUGCAUCCCCCUGGUCUAUAGGAAUGACCACGUUCAAUGUAACAUAUACAGUAAUUCCAAUGUUCACGAUCACACGUAUGGGGUUUCGUGCUCUUGUUUACUACAAAGGUCAGCUGUGGUUGGAUCACGUGCAGCCAGAUGUUACUUGUGAAGAUUUUAAAAUAUGUGACAUCAUCAAAGGAGAAACACUUCAUGAAACAGCUCCAUUUUAUCUGAGAAAAUUUUAUGCCCCUGAGGGCAACUAUCAGGUUUAUGUGAAUGCGACAUUUGUUGAUGACCUUGAAAACAUGCAAACAGUCCGUGUCAAUAUCACAGUCCAAGUGAAAAAUCCUAAUGUUAUGAGCAAAAGUUUGGGAGGGAUGUAGGACAAGCUACCUAUGGUAUGCUGUUUCUAUUUCUUUUUU